AAGUCGAGCGAACAGAUAAGGAGCUUGCUCCUUUGACGUUAGCGGCGGACGGGUGAGUAACACGUGGGUAACCUACCUAUAAGACUGGGAUAACUUCGGGAAACCGGAGCUAAUACCGGAUAACAUUUGGAACCGCAUGGUUCUAAAGUGAAAGAUGGUUUUGCUAUCACUUAUAGAUGGACCCGCGCCGUAUUAGCUAGUUGGUAAGGUAACGGCUUACCAAGGCAACGAUACGUAGCCGACCUGAGAGGGUGAUCGGCCACACUGGAACUGAGACACGGUCCAGACUCCUACGGGAGGCAGCAGUAGGGAAUCUUCCGCAAUGGGCGAAAGCCUGACGGAGCAACGCCGCGUGAGUGAUGAAGGGUUUCGGCUCGUAAAACUCUGUUAUUAGGGAAGAACAAAUGUGUAAGUAACUGUGCACAUCUUGACGGUACCUAAUCAGAAAGCCACGGCUAACUACGUGCCAGCAGCCGCGGUAAUACGUAGGUGGCAAGCGUUAUCCGGAAUUAUUGGGCGUAAAGCGCGCGUAGGCGGUUUCUUAAGUCUGAUGUGAAAGCCCACGGCUCAACCGUGGAGGGUCAUUGGAAACUGGGAAACUUGAGUGCAGAAGAGGAAAGUGGAAUUCCAUGUGUAGCGGUGAAAUGCGCAGAGAUAUGGAGGAACACCAGUGGCGAAGGCGACUUUCUGGUCUGUAACUGACGCUGAUGUGCGAAAGCGUGGGGAUCAAACAGGAUUAGAUACCCUGGUAGUCCACGCCGUAAACGAUGAGUGCUAAGUGUUAGGGGGUUUCCGCCCCUUAGUGCUGCAGCUAACGCAUUAAGCACUCCGCCUGGGGAGUACGACCGCAAGGUUGAAACUCAAAGGAAUUGACGGGGACCCGCACAAGCGGUGGAGCAUGUGGUUUAAUUCGAAGCAACGCGAAGAACCUUACCAAAUCUUGACAUCCUUUGAAAACUCUAGAGAUAGAGCCUUCCCCUUCGGGGGACAAAGUGACAGGUGGUGCAUGGUUGUCGUCAGCUCGUGUCGUGAGAUGUUGGGUUAAGUCCCGCAACGAGCGCAACCCUUAAGCUUAGUUGCCAUCAUUAAGUUGGGCACUCUAGGUUGACUGCCGGUGACAAACCGGAGGAAGGUGGGGAUGACGUCAAAUCAUCAUGCCCCUUAUGAUUUGGGCUACACACGUGCUACAAUGGACAAUACAAAGGGCAGCUAAACCGCGAGGUCAUGCAAAUCCCAUAAAGUUGUUCUCAGUUCGGAUUGUAGUCUGCAACUCGACUACAUGAAGCUGGAAUCGCUAGUAAUCGUAGAUCAGCAUGCUACGGUGAAUACGUUCCCGGGUCUUGUACACACCGCCCGUCACACCACGAGAGUUUGUAACACCCGAAGCCGGUGGAGUAACCAUUUAUGGAGCUAGCC
rnacentral:rRNA from 1 species